rnacentral:rRNA from 1 species
UACAGAGGUCUCAAGCGUUGUUCGGAUUCAUUGGGCGUAAAGGGCGCGUAGGCGGCGGGGUAAGUCGGGUGUGAAAUCUCAGAGCUCAACUCUGAAACUGCACUCGAUACUGCUCUGCUUGAGGACUGGAGAGGAGACUGGAAUUUACGGUGUAGCGGUGAAAUGCGUAGAUAUCGUAAGGAGGACCAGUGGCGAAGGCGGGUCUCUGGACAGUUCCUGACGCUGAGGCACGAAGGCCAGGGGAGCAAACGGG